UCGCGGCGGANGGGUGAGUAAUGCCUAGGAAUCUGCCUAGUAGUGGGGGACAACGUUUCGAAAGGAACGCUAAUACCGCAUACGUCCUACGGGAGAAAGUGGGGGAUCUUCGGACCUCACGCUAUUAGAUGAGCCUAGGUCGGAUUAGCUAGUUGGUAGGGUAAAGGCCUACCAAGGC
rnacentral:rRNA from 1 species